AUUGAACGCUGGCGGCAGGCCUAACACAUGCAAGUCGAGCGGCAGCGGGAAGUAGCUUGCUACUUUGCCGGCGAGCGGCGGACGGGUGAGUAAUGUCUGGGAAACUGCCUGAUGGAGGGGGAUAACUACUGGAAACGGUAGCUAAUACCGCAUAACGUCGCAAGACCAAAGAGGGGGACCUUCGGGCCUCUUGCCAUCAGAUGUGCCCAGAUGGGAUUAGCUAGUAGGUGGGGUAACGGCUCACCUAGGCGACGAUCCCUAGCUGGUCUGAGAGGAUGACCAGCCACACUGGAACUGAGGCACGGUCCAGACUCCUACGGGAGGCAGCAGUGGGGAAUAUUGCACAAUGGGCGCAAGCCUGAUGCAGCCAUGCCGCGUGUAUGAAGAAGGCCUUCGGGUUGUAAAGUACUUUCAGCGGGGAGGAAGGUGUUGUGGUUAAUAACCACAGCAAUUGACGUUACCCGCAGAAGAAGCACCGGCUAACUCCGUGCCAGCCGCCGCCGUAA
rnacentral:rRNA from 1 species